UCACAUCUGAGUUAGAUUUGUCAUGUAAUGGGUGACAACAUGUUGUUCUUUAUUCAAAGUCAAUGUCCAUGAUUGGCAUAGGCAUGAUGAUGUCUGUUAAGUCUAGAUCAUAGUUAAUGCACACCAGCUGUGCAGUGCAGUGAACAAAGAUUCUGGAAUUCACACAAUUUCUGAUGAACAUUUAAAAAUCUCAAUUGUGCUGAAGUACCCCAAAUAAAUGACUUUCUAUUUAUUUGCAACUAAAUUCCCGUUUAGAAGUGAUAAUUUAUGCAUAAUUCUGUGUUUUAAACCACGAAACUAUUUAUUUUAAGCGUUUCUUGGGGUUUUAUGACUCACUAAAAAUAGCAUUUAAUUUGAAAGUUACAUAAUCUUACUAGUUCAAACACUAUACGACUUAAAUCUGGAGAAUGAAUUUUAAAGUUAUGUUCACCAAUUCAAAGAUACCGUUCGAAUAGACUAUGCGGAACUGAAAUUAUAUGUGAUUAUUCUGCUUUUGAUAUUUUAAUGACUAGCUGAAAAUACACCAUUUUUGCGUGAAAUUGAUGUGUAUAUUGUGCUAAAAAUGGAACGGCCCAUUAGGUGUUAGUUCGGGAGGUACUCAUCGAUUUUUCCACAAAAUAUGAUAAAAAUAGUUAAAUCCUUUUGAAAUAUCAUAAAAAGGUCUGAAAAUUUGACAACACCUUCCAUAAUUUUUUUUUGGUUUUGCAUGGUUCUAUCGUAGACAGCCUCUUAAACAUAAACCAACAAUUCUUAAUUGUAAUUUCUUUUCUUCUUUAAAAAGGGUAUUGACAUCCCAAUAUUUAGUGGGAAGUUCCCAGGUAUCAUCCGCUAGCGACAGUCUACUGGCAAAUCCAGACAUGCAUUGGAAGGAUGCUGAUGUGGAGGACACAGGGACACCUGAUCCAAGAACUGUGGCAUUUCAUUCGGGGUGACAACCUGGCAUUCAGUUGGUAUGACUCUUUGAGGUUGAAUAUAGGGUUAAAUCAGUAUAAAUUUGGUUAACAUGCAAAUAAAUCCAGAUAAUACAUUCACAAAUGGAAUUGUGGUACACUGAUAUGCGUGUACCAUUUUACUGGGUUUUUUUUUUGGUUUUUGUUUUUUGUUUUUGCUGCAUUACUAGGGAUCGCAUACAUACAAAAAGAGACAAAACACGGAAAAUCAUUAUUCUUUUUCUAAUUAUAAGGUAUGACACGUUUUCUAAAUGCUGACAAAUAAGGUAUGGUGGCCAGUACUGAUUUUACUUGCAAUUUUCUUUCAGAUAUGGGACCCUAUUAUUCGAAGAACUGCAGAUUUUAUGAAACUGUCUUUGACAGAAGAUUUGGUUUUCUCCAUCUGUGUUGCCACCAACAAUUAUGCUGAGAUGGUAAGGGGGAAGGAUUGCCAUAUACUUCCCAAGGAAGUUUGCAGCCUCUCACUGAAGAGGAACUGUACAGAUUUUUGUGCAUUAUCUCAUACAUGCCUGCUGUGAAGUUCCAGUUGAUAGACAGAUAUUGGUGAACGCAUGUCCCUGUCGGAACAACUCAUUAUCAAGAAUUAUGUCUAGAAAUAGGUUUCAAGAGGUUGAAUAUAAGAACAUUUUUGUUAAAUAUGAUGCAAGUACAUUUAAAUCUAGUGAUUGAAAGUAAGUACUUGAACAUUCGUAUAUGUUGAAUUUAGAGAGGAAAAACGGUUAGUACAUGUACUUUUUGAUAACAUUUGAUAAGGUGUUGUUGCUUAGCAACCAAAUAUAAUUGAAUAAAAAAAAUAAAAUUAUUUUAGAUUAACAAUAAUUGAAAGAUCUUUGUUUUAAUGAUGCAAUACUUAUUCUAGUUAAUGGAACAUAAUGGCAAAACGUCAUAUUAUUAGAAAAUGAUGGACAAGUAUACAAAGUACGAAGUUUCCAUUUGAUGUCCUUUGACCUUAAUUCUCUUCAUCAUAUUUUUUGUUAAAAACCUUUUAAAAUGAUUAAGAUCUAUUUAAUGAUUAUAUUUUUAAAACAAUGUGACAUUUACUAAUCAUCAUGGAAUGUAAUUACGUUUAAAUUGUGUCGAAUGGAUGCAGAAAGGCAAAUUAUGGUCAAAAUUGUACUAUGAGUGUUGUUACUUAGCAACCAAAAAUAUUUGUUUGUCAAUAAAAUUGAUUAGUUUGA